rnacentral:tRNA from 1 species
GGGGAUGUAGCUCAGUGGUAGAGCGCUUGCCUAGCACGUGUGAGGCACUGGGUUUGAUUCUCAGCACCA